GAUGAGACCAUAUAUUUACAUAGG
rnacentral:siRNA from 1 species